CCCCACGCGAGUUCUCUCGCUCUGCCCACAAGCUCGUGCAUGCAUUUGUUUUGGGGCUUCCGGCGGGGAUGCACUCAAUCAAACAUGCGAUUGGCCCACGAGGGCAACUUCAGCCGACUUUGUUCCUCCCCGCCCCCUGGUGGCUAAUUCAGUUGGCUGCGUAAUUUCAAAGCCAUUUAUCUACUCAUAUUCAACGAAGAUGAAGUUUGUUUAAUUUUGCCUACGAGGGUGACUGCGCAGGGGCUGAAGGUAAAAUGGGAGAAACGCCGCAGGUCAAGCGGGGCUCGCACGAGCCAAUCCGCUGUGGGGCGUGUUGCCAUGACAACAGCGCAAACGCCACUCCCAGAUUCCAGAACGUUCCCCAUGUGCUGUGGAGUUAUACUCUGGGAAAAGCAGUUGACUCCAUAAUUUUCCAGGAACUGGCUGGGAAUCAGCCCUGUUUCCCCGCCCACUACAUGACAGGCCUGGAGGAGGGGCCAGAAUCUCAGAGACAAACAGGUGUACCCCGUUCUCUCCCUGCUGCUAUGUGCUGCUCAUUCGCCUCAGCAGAACCUGCAGAGAGAGACAGCCUGUCCAAUCAGGAGAGAGAAGAACAGAGAGAACAGCCUGUCCAAUCAGGUGAAGACCGAAACCUGCAAACCCGACGGCUCUCCAGGGGACCAGGGCUGGGGACCCCAGAUACAACUGGCGAAAUCUCUUCUGCACGGCCGAGGAACGGGAAAAUGCGGACGCAGCAGGUCCUUAAUUUCACAUGAAACAAUUACCAUUGGAUUGGUUUUCCUUCACCUGUGUGAGAACCUUUCUGACUCCUGUAGAAGCUUCUGGAACUGAGGACCAAGCGUGGCAGACUGAGGGCUCACUGAUGCUUUCAGCCUUCUGUGAACCAGAGUUAGCCCAGAUGCUGCUGUCGUAUUUCAGGCAGAAUCUCUCUGAAGAGUUAUUCAUAAAUAUUUCAUAAAACCAAGAUGACAAUAUUUUACUGCGUGCAAUUUCUGGCACAAUGUAAGAACCUGUGUUUAUGUACCUUUGUUUAUGUACCACCUGUGUUCACACUCACCCGGAGUUUGCCGGUGGCUGAAGAACAGAGUGAAAUACUGUUAUCCUGUGUUUUUUAAAUUGUGGUCUAUCACUGUUACAACUGAAAUAUGACUCCUGUUGAAGGGCCGGGACUAUAUUUAAUAUUUUCAGCUGUCAUUCUUUGCUGUCUAUUUAUGACACCGAUCUACUGCUUGAU